CCAUGGUAGCCGUAUCGGAAGGUGCGGCUGGAUCACCUCCUUUUGAGCAUGACGUCAUCGUCCUGUCGGGCGUCCUCACAAAUUACCUGCAUUCAGAGAUGCGUAUCGGCACAGGCCGAUAUGCGAAAGUCCCAUCAUGGGGCUUAGCUCAGCUGGGAGAGCACUGCUUUGCAAGCAGGGGGUCGUCGGUUCGAUCCCGACAGGCUCCACCAUUUGAGUGAAACGACUUUGGGUCUGUAGCUCAGGUGGUUAGAGCGCACCCCUGAUAAGGGUGAGGUCGGUGGUUCGAGUCCUCCCAGACCCACCACUCUGAAUGUAGUGCACACUUAAGAAUUUAUAUGGCUCAGCGUUGAGGCUGGGACAUGUUCUUUUAUAACUUGUGACGUAGCGAGCGUUUGAGAUAUCUAUCUAAACGUGUCGUUGAGGCUAAGGCGGGGACUUCGAGUCCCUAAAUAAUUGAGUCGUAUGUUCGCGUUGGUGGCUUUGUACCCCACACAACACGGCAUAUGACCCUGAGGCAACUUGGGGUUAUAUGGUCAAGCGAAUAAGCGCACACGGUGGAUGCCUAGGCGGUCAGAGGCGAUGAAGGACGUGGUAGCCUGCGAAAAGUGUCGGGGAGCUGGCAACAAGCUUUGAUCCGGCAAUAUCCGAAUGGGGAAACCCACUGCUUCGGCAGUAUCCUGCAGUGAAUUCAUAGCUGCUGGAAGCGAACCCGGUGAACUGAAAUAUCUAAGUAACCGGAGGAAAAGAAAUCAACCGAGAUUCCCUAAGUAGUGACGAGCGAACGGGGAGCAGCCCUUAAGCUGGAAUGGCUUUAGAAAAACAAUCUGGAAAGAUUGGCCAUAGAAGGUGAUAGCCCUGUAUUUAAAAGGGCCACUCCAGUGAAGACGAGUAGGGCGGGGCACGUGAAACCUCUGUCUGAAUAUGGGGGGACCAUCCUCCAAGGCUAAAUACUCCUGACCGACCGAUAGACAUGCC
rnacentral:sRNA from 1 species